CUAGAGGUUCCGAGCGGAUUCGAACCGCUGUACAAGGUUUUGCAGACCUCUGCCUAGCCGCUCGGCCACGGAAC
rnacentral:tRNA from 1 species